AGAACGAACGCUGGCGGCAUGCCUAAUACAUGCAAGUCGAACGAACACUUCGGUGUUAGUGGCGCACGGGUGCGUAACGCGUGGGAAUCUGCCCUUGGGUUCGGAAUAACAGUUGGAAACGACUGCUAAUACCGGAUGAUAUCGAAAGAUCAAAGAUUUAUCGCCCAGGGAUGAGCCCGCGUAGGAUUAGCUAGUUGGUGAGGCAAAGGCUCACCAAGGCGACGAUCCUUAGCUGGUCUGAGAGGAUGAUCAGCCACACUGGGACUGAGACACGGCCCAGACUCCUACGGGAGGCAGCAGUAGGGAAUAUGGACAAUGGGCGCAAGCCUGAUCCAGCAAUGCCGCGUGAGUGAUGAAGGCCUUAGGGUUGUAAAGCUCUUUACCGAGAUGAUAAUGAACAGUAUGGAAGAAGUAACGCCCCGGACUAACUCCGUGCCAGCCAGCCGU
rnacentral:rRNA from 1 species